rnacentral:rRNA from 1 species
GACGUAGGGCGCGAGCGUUGUCCGGAUUUAUUGGGCGUAAAGAGCUCGUAGGCGGCUUGUCGCGUCGACUGUGAAAACCCGCGGCUCAACUGCGGGCCUGCAGCCGAUACGGGCAGGCUAGAGUUCGGGAGAGGGAUGCGGAAUUCCAGGUGUAGCGGUGAAAUGCGUAGAUAUCUGGAGGAACACCGGUGGCGAAGGCGGCAUCCUGGACCGAUAUUGACGCUGAGGCGCGAAAGCCAGGGGGAGCAAACGGG